rnacentral:tRNA from 6 species
GAUUGGCUAGCUCAGUUGGUAGAGCAUCUCCCUUUUAAGGAGAGGGUCCUGGGUUCGAGACCCAGGCCAAUCA